GUAUCUUUUUGUCUCUAUUCCACUGGAUGGCUGUUGUGAUGAGUUGUCUGUUCUGGCCAGCAGUGUAAUCCUCCUCUGCCUGUUUGUGUGAAUACAUCUCUCUCUUUCUCUCAGUUGCAAUGACGGACGUGUGUUUCCAGUGUAAUGACUCAAUGUGCUCAAAAUUGAACACAAUUUAUGAUCAUGGAGAUCAGAACACAAGUCUGCUGGUUCCAUGUCCUAUCCAGCAAUGCACCUCCAAUCCCGAAACUUCCCGCUUGGAUAAAUUGUAUUAUGUUUGGUGCAGAAAUGUCUCAGCGAGCUUCCAGCCUGCCCUGGAGGCCAACAGCACAGCCAUUACCAACUAUGAACAAGCCAAUUGCACUGUCAUCGGCAUCGCGCCAACUACUGUGAAUGGUUCAGACUUCACUGGAGCUGGUGAUCAAUAUGGACAUCCUGGGGAUGAACUGUGGUGGGUUUUACUGAUCCCUGUCCUGGUCGUUUGCAUUGGCAUUGCUUGCUGGUGUAUCAAGAAGCGCAACAGAAGUAGAAACUAUGUCAUAUAAGGGAGAAAGUGACAGGGACAGCUCUCAGGACUACCCAUCCCUUAACCAAGCUGUUUGGACCAAACCCCCAGAUCAGGAUGCUGCUGCAUUAUCUCUGCCUUCAUUCCAUCUCUUUAACUCUUCUUCGUAAAGUUUCAUAUUCAGAUUAUUGUAUAACAGUACUGGUAAACCAAUGCCUUGCAUAAGUUUUACUCAAUUGUACUGACAUCAGCCGGCUGAAGCGUAGUCUUAGGAGUGCUGAUGGGAAUAAAUCAGGUUUAGGAAAAUGUCAUGCCACGCAAAGUAAAUUGUCUAAUUCACUAUGUACUGUACCGUGGGU